rnacentral:rRNA from 1 species
CCUGCCGGCGACCGGCGCACGGGUGAGUAACACGUAUGUAACCUGCCCCUGUCAGGGGGACAACCCGCCGAAAGGCGGGCUAAGCCCGCGUACAUGCCACCGGGGCAUCCCGGAGGCAGGAAAGGCUUCGGCCGGACAGGGAUGGGCAUGCGGCGCAUUAGGCAGUAGGCGGGGUAACGGCCCACCUAACCGACGAUGCGUAGGGGUUCUGAGAGGAAGGUCCCCCACACUGGUACUGAGACACGGACCAGACUCCUACGGGAGGCAGCAG